rnacentral:rRNA from 1 species
GAUGAACGCUGGCGGCGUGCCUAAUACAUGCAAGUCGAGCGAACAGAUGAGGAGCUUGCUCCUCUGACGUUAGCGGCGGACGGGUGAGUAACACGUGGAUAACCUACCUAUAAGACUGGGAUAACUUCGGGAAACCGGAGCUAAUACCGUAUAAUAUAUUGAACCGCAUGGUUCAAUAGUGAAAGACGGUUUUGCUGUCACUUAUAGAUGGAUCCGCGCCGCAUUAGCUAGUUGGUAAGGUAACGGCUUACCAAGGCAACGAUGCGUAGACGACCUGAGAGGGUGAUCGGCCACACUGGAACUGAGACGCGGUCCAGACUCCUACGGGAGGCAGCAGUAGGGAAUCUUCCGCAAAGGGCGAAAGCCUGACGGAGCAACGCCGCGUGAGUGAUGAAGGCCUUCGGAUCGUAAAACUCUGUUAUGAGUGAAGAACAAAUGUGUAAGUAACUAUGCACGUCUUGACGGUAACUAAUCAGAAAGCCACGGCUAACUACGUG